rnacentral:misc_RNA from 1 species
AAACAGACACUAUUUAUUUUGUUAUACUGAACGUCUUAAUUUUAAAGAAAACAUCACUGCUUUUAGAUAGGAAUAACGUGAAUUCUAAGGCGAACCGAACGCGCAUGAUUUUCGCGCAUGUAACAAUUCGUAAUGUUACCCGUUGCUAAGUGCGUUGCUAACGCUGAGGGUAAUAGAACAGAUUAUGAACCGCGUCUAAACCAAUCAAAUUUCAGUAUUUAACAUGAAAAUAACAAAAUAAAUUGUAAAACCCACAGUGGGAUUCGAACUCAUUACUUACAGAUUCGUAGUAAACCCUCUAACACACUGCGCUACGAUGUUAGAUGACAAUAUUGGGAAAGAAACUACUUAUAUAACUGCACUUAAUUUUAUUGUUUAUUUCGAUAAACAAUACGUCACAACAUGGAAAUGUCCCAUACAACCUUAAUUUGACUUAAAAUCAGAAGAAAAACGUUUUAGACAUUCCUACUCUGUGAGUAAUAUAAUAGAUUAAUAAUCCCCAAACUCAUUUGCAUAUGUCAAACUCACAGUUGCUCAUCAUUUUCCACCAUCGUGAAAAAGUUGAGAUCUCACUAAAAGCAGGAGUAAUUUUUUUUUUACACGGGUUCAACACGCGUGUCGUAAAAUACAUGUUUUAUUGAUACCUCUGGCAACCCGAGGUACUCGUGUCGUUCAAUCAAACGUACUCCUUGUGUACAUGUAUAUUGUACAUUUAAAAUUGUUUUGUACACUACUAGAAUGUAUUAUCAACCAUGUAUUAAUUCCCUGCCUAAAUUCCAUUGUGUAACUUUGUACUAUACUUUUUUUGUUAUUAACUUUACUGUUAUAGGGACUCUAUCGAAAAUAAGCUUUUUACAAAACUUUUAACAAAACUUUUUUUUUUAGAUAAUAAUUAUCAUUUGUAUGUCAUGUAACUUAUAAUAAAUCAGAACAAUUGAACAAAUUGAACCUUAUUUAGUUGCAUAGUGCUAGAAUAAUGUCUUUCUUUCUAUCUGACGUGUUAUGUUUUCAAUGUGUAAUCAUGGCAUUCUGUGAUAAAUUUACCUGAAUAAAAUGAAAUGAAUU